rnacentral:rRNA from 1 species
AGGCAGCAGUGGGGAAUUUUGACAAUGGGCGCAAGCCUGAUCCAGCAAUGCCGCGUGCAGGAUGAAGGCCUUCGGGUUGUAAACUGCUUUUGUACGGAGCGAAAAGGCUUCUUCUAAUACAGGAGGCUCAUGACGGUACCGUAAGAAUAAGCACCGGCUAACUACGUGCCAGCAGCCGCGGUAAUACGUAGGGUGCAAGCGUUAAUCGGAAUUACUGGGCGUAAAGCGUGCGCAGGCGGUGAUGUAAGACAGUGGUGAAAUCCCCGGGCUCAACCUGGGAACUGCCAUUGUGACUGCAUCGCUAGAGUACGGUAGAGGGGGGUGGAAUUCCGCGUGUAGCAGUGAAAUGCGUAGAUAUGCGGAGGAACACCGAUGGCGAAGGCAGCCCCCUGGACCUGUACUGACGCUCAUGCACGAAAGCAUGGGGAGCAAACAGGAUUAGAUANCCCUGGUAGUCCAUGCC